rnacentral:rRNA from 1 species
AGUCGAACGCACUGACGGAGAACUUGUUCUCUUGACGUGAGUGGCGCACGGGUGAGUAACACGUGGGAAACCUACCCUUCAGCGGGGGAUAACCAUCGGAAACGAUGACUAAUACCGCAUAGACGACAGAACCGCCUGGUUCAAUCGGGAAAGACGGCUUCGGCUGUCACUGAAGGAUGGUCCCGCGCUGCAUUAGCUAGUUGGUAAGGUAACGGCUUACCAAGGCGAUGAUGCAUAGCCGACCUGAGAGGGUGAUCGGCCACAUUGGGACUGAGACACGGCCCAAACUCCUACGGGAGGCAGCAGUAGGGAAUCUUCCGCAAUGGACGCAAGUCUGACGGAGCAACGCCGCGUGUGUGAAGAAGGUUUUCGGAUCGUAAAGCACUGUUAUUAGAGAAGAACAGCCGAUAGAGUAACUGUUAUCGGUUUGACGGUAUCUAACCAGAAAGUGACGGCUAACUACGUGCCAGCAGCCGCGGUAAUACGUAGGUCACGAGCGUUGUCCGGAUUUAUUGGGCGUAAAGGGAGCGCAGGCGGUUUGUUAAGUCUGAUGUGAAAGCCCACGGCUCAACCGUGGAACGGCAUUGGAAACUGGCAAACUUGAGUAUAGAAGAGGAAAGUGGAAUUCCAUGUGUAGCGGUGAAAUGCGUAGAUAUAUGGAGGAACACCAGUGGCGAAGGCGACUUUCUGGUCUAUAACUGACGCUGAGGCUCGAAAGCGUGGGGAGCGAACAGGAUUAGAUACCCUGGUAGUCCACGCCGUAAACGAUGAGUGUUAAGUGUUGGGGGGCUUCCACCCCUCAGUGCUGGCGUUAACGCAAUAAACACUCCGCCUGGGGAGUACGACCGCAAGGUUGAAACUCAAAUGAAUUGACGG